rnacentral:rRNA from 1 species
GAUGAACGCUAGCGACAGGCUUAACACAUGCAAGUCGAGGGGCAGCACGGGAGUAGCAAUACAACUGGUGGCGACCGGCGCACGGGUGAGUAACGCGUAUGCAACCUACCUAUCGGAGGGGAAUAACCCGGCGAAAGUCGGACUAAUACCGCAUAAAACAGGGGCACCGCAUGGUGAUAUUUGUUAAAGAAAUUCGCUGAUAGAUGGGCAUGCGUUCCAUUAGGUAGUUGGUGAGGUAACGGCUCACCAAGCCGACGAUGGAUAGGGGAACUGAGAGGUUGGUCCCCCACACUGGUACUGAGACACGGACCAGACUCCUACGGGAGGCAGCAGUGAAGAAUAUUGGUCAAUGGGCGGGAGCCUGAACCAGCCAAGUCGCGUGAAGGAAGAAGGAUCUAUGGUUCGUAAACUUCUUUUGCAGGGGAAUAAAGUGCAGGACGUGUCCUGUUUUGUAUGUACCCUGAGAAUAAGGAUCGGCUAACUCCGUGCCAGCAGCCGCAGUAACAC